rnacentral:rRNA from 1 species
CAGUAGCCACGGUAAUACGGAGGGUGCAAGCGUUAAUCGGAAUUACUGGGCGUAAAGCGCACGCAGGCGGUCUGACAAGUCAGAUGUGAAAUCCCCGGGCUUAACCUGGGAACUGCAUUUGAAACUGUCAGGCUGGAGUCUUGUAGAGGGGGGUAGAAUUCCAGGUGUAGCGGUGAAAUGCGUAGAGAUCUGGAGGAAUACCGGUGGCGAAGGCGGCCCCCUGGACAAAGACUGACGCUCAGGUGCGAAAGCGUGGGGAGCAAACAGGAUUAGAUACCCCAGUAGUCUCUGUCUCUUAUAC